UCGUAACAAGGUCUCCGUUGGUGAACCAGCGGAGGGAUCAUUACUGAGUUACCGCUCUAUAACCCUUUGUGAACGUACCUAACCGUUGCUUCGGCGGGCAGGGGAAGCCUCUCGCGGGCCUCCCCUCCCGGCGCCGGCCCCCACCACGGGGACGGGGCGCCCGCCGGAGGAAACCAAACUCUAUUUACACGACGUCUCUUCUGAGUGGCACAAGCAAAUAAUUAAAACUUUUAACAACGGAUCUCUUGGUUCUGGCAUCGAUGAAGAACGCAGCGAAAUGCGAUAAGUAAUGUGAAUUGCAGAAUUCAGUGAAUCAUCGAAUCUUUGAACGCACAUUGCGCUCGCCAGCAUUCUGGCGAGCAUGCCUGUUCGAGCGUCAUUUCAACCCUCAAGCACCGCUUGGUUUUGGGGCCCCACGGCCGACGUGGGCCCUUAAAGGUAGUGGCGGACCCUCCCGGAGCCUCCUUUGCGUAGUAACUAACGUCUCGCACUGGGAUCCGGAGGGACUCUUGCCGUUAAACCCCCAAAUUCUUUACAGGUGACCUCGGAUCAG
rnacentral:rRNA from 1 species